ACUCCUUUCCAUUCCGAACAGGAAAGUUAAGCUCUACAGCGCUAAUGGUACUGCACGGGCAGCUGUGUGGGAGAGUAGGACGUCGCCAGGU
rnacentral:rRNA from 1 species